AAAGCAUCACGAGCUCUUCGCUAAACUUGGAGGUCAAGGAGAAGAAUAUCCGUGGAUGAGAGUCAGCAACAAGCAAGGUGGACAGGGGGUGAAAUACACGCUGAAGUUUGCGAGCAACGACGAGAAGUGCGGUAUUCUUACACUUCACCUCCAAGGCAAGGACCAUUGCGAAAUGCAUGUUUGGGAUAGUUAUGUCGAUACAGAAUUG